GAGAUUGGAUAUAAAAAAUUGUAGAUAUACGUAUGUAAAUAUAUAUGUGCAAGUAUGUAGGCGGAUUCUCUAAGUACGACAUACAAAAAAGGGGACAUAUUCAAAUUAUGCGACCGGAUGAAUCAUGUCUCAAAGACUUUUCGCCGACAAUUCUACAAAAGCUAAAUAAAAAAAUAAAUAAUAAAAAUUAUAUAAAUUGAGUUGAAGUAAAAAAUAGAGAAAAAGUUCUGAAAUUUCGCACAUUUGUACGACGAUAUGAUACGCUUCAGCAACGUGUUAAGCAGAAAUGAAAAUAAAAUACAACAACAACAACUAAUACAAAAUAAGCAGCCGUCAUAUCCGGCAGAUUCAUACAGCUGUCUGUCUGUCGGUCGGUGUUCAAAUUGUCAAACCACAAAGCAAAUACAUUCUGCAGCCAACACAGAUUCCAAUUGAAGCAUUUAGAGACUCACUCACUCAAAUCUGCGGCUGUGGAGCUGUUUACGUUUGAAGAAGAAGCAUCACGCGUUGGCAUAUCAAUUACAAGCCACACUCAGUUCCACGCCAAAAAAGGAAGAAAUUACUUCAUUAUUUGCUGACUGCAAAGCUUUGACACUUGCGCUCUGCUAGCUCCUACUGGGUUUUUUAUAUUUAUUUUUAUUUUUUUUAUUUUUUUGUUGUUUUUUAUAAU